rnacentral:hammerhead_ribozyme from 1 species
AUCCUGCUGAUGAGUCCCAAACAGGACGAAACGCGUAUACAAUAU